AUCACCAAGCCUUCCUCCCUCUUCCACUGAAACUGAAUCUGUGGAUCAGCAGCAAGGAAUCAGAGCAUUUCCAGGGUCAGAUUUAACUGUGGGGGAAGGUGUUGGGCCAGUAACGUACAUGUCAAAAUCCAACCCAGCCCCAGCAGGUCUGUCCUCUCCCCAGGCAUGCUGGAUGCUGUGAUCUGAGAAGCCUGCCCCUUCUCCCAGCACUGAAAGUCAUUCAGCCCUUUCUGACCAGCUCGAAACAACGCCCGUUCCAGCUCAUCCAGCCGUGCCACCAGUGCAGAGGUGUCCUCAUUGUAGGCAUUCUGGGAGGAGUCCAUGAUGCGACGGAAACGGCCAAUAAAUGUCUAAGGGAGAGAAGCAGAAUUACCAAUGGCUAAGGGAGAUUCUUCUUGAACUCAGUCCCAGGCAUUCAGCCUGAGCCCCUCAGAGACACAGACAGUUAAGACUCUAGACUCCCCCCACUCUCUUCACAGAGAACAAUGGGCAAAGUUGCAGAAAAUAUGGAGGAGGCAGCAGCAAAGAAAAAGGAAACCAAAUCUACCAAAGGAACUAGACUUGGUUCGAAUACUUGCCUGCAGUAUAGUCUGAGCUAUCUCUGGAUUCUCUGGAUUGUCAAAAUUCAGGAGCUGGGAGCCAAAGCCAUAGUAGUAUGGCCCCAUUUUAUGCAGGUCAACCACAUUGGCAUCAGCACUGAACACUGUCCGCCAGCCUUCCUUGUAAAUCUUGGGCAGUUCCACUGAAA